GAUGAACGCUGGCGGCGUGCCUAAUACAUGCAAGUCGAGCGAACGGACGAGAAGCUUGCUUCUCUGAUGUUAGCGGCGGACGGGUGAGUAACACGUGGAUAACCUACCUAUAAGACUGGGAUAACUUCGGGAAACCGGAGCUAAUACCGGAUAAUAUUUUGAACCGCAUGGUUCAAAAGUGAAAGACGGUCUUGCUGUCACUUAUAGAUGGAUCCUCGCUGCAUUAGCUAGUUGGUAAGGUAACGGCUUACCAAGGCAACGAUGCAUAGCCGACCUGAGAGGGUGAACGGCCACACUGGAACUGAGACACGGUCCAGACUCCUACGGGAGGCAGCAGUAGGGAAUCUUCAGCAAUGGGCGAAAGCCUGACGGAGAAACGCCGCGUGAGUGAUGAAGGUCUUCGGAUCGUAAAACUCUGUUAUUAGGGAAGAACAUAUGUGUAAGUAACUGUGCACAUCUUGACGGUACCUAAUCAGAAAGCCACGGCUAACUACGUG
rnacentral:rRNA from 1 species